rnacentral:rRNA from 1 species
UGGGGAAUAUUGCACAAUGGAGGGAACUCUGAUGCAGCGACGCCGCGUGAACGAAGAAGGCUCUUGAGUCGUAAAGUUCUUUUAUAUGGGAAGAUAAUUACGGUACCAUAAGAAAAAGCCCCGGCUAACUACGUGCCAGCAGCCGCGGUAAUACGGAGGGGGCUAGCGUUGUCCGGAAUCACUGGGCGUAAAGGGUUCGCAGGCGGAAAUGCAAGUCAGGUGUAAAAGGCAGUAGCUUAACUACUGUAAGCAUUUGAAACUGCAUAUCUUGAGAAGAGUAGAGGUAAGUGGAAUUUUUAGUGUAGCGGUGAAAUGCGUAGAUAUUAAAAAGAAUACCGGUGGCGAAGGCGACUUACUGGGCUCAUUCUGACGCUGAGGAACGAAAGCGUGGGUAGCAAACAGG